AUCCAGCUGAUGAGUCCCAAAAAUAGAACGAAAUGUGCGUUAUGGAU
rfam:Schistosoma rodhaini strain Burundi genome assembly, scaffold: SROB_scaffold0008850